rnacentral:rRNA from 1 species
AGUGAACGCUGGCGGUAGGCCUAACACAUGCAAGUCGAACGGCAGCACAGUAAGAGCUUGCUCUUACGGGUGGCGAGUGGCGGACGGGUGAGGAAUACAUCGGAAUCUACUUUUUCGUGGGGGAUCACGUAGGGAAACUUACGCUAAUACCGCAUACGACCUACGGGUGAAAGCAGGGGAUCUUCGGACCUUGCGCGAUUGAAUGAGCCGAUGUCGGAUUAGCUAGUUGGCGGGGUAAAGGCCCACCAAGGCGACGAUCCGUAGCUGGUCUGAGAGGAUGAUCAGCCACACUGGAACGGAGACACGGUCCAGACUCCUACGGGAGGCAGCAGUGGGGAAUAUUGGACAAUGGGCGCAAGCCUGAUCCAGCCAUACCGCGUGGGUGAAGAAGGCCUUCGGGUUGUAAAGCCCUUUUGUUGGGAAAGAAAAGCAGCAGGUUAAUACCCCGCUGUUCUGACGGUACCCAAAGAAUAAGCACCGGCUAACUUCGUG